GGAUCUGCCUACAGGACUGGGACAACAGCUGGAAACGGCUGCUAAAACCGGAUGUGCCGAGAGGUGAAAUAUUUAUAGCCUGUAGAUGAGCUCGCGUCUGAUUAGCUAGUUGGUGAGGUAAGGGCUCACCAAGGCGACGAUCAGUAGCUGGUCUGAGAGGACGAUCAGCCACACUGGGACUGAGACACGGCCCAGACUCCUACGGGAGGCAGCAGUGGGGAAUUUUCCGCAAUGGGCGAAAGCCUGACGGAGCAAUACCGCGUGAGGGAGGAAGGUCUGUGGAUUGUAAACCUCUUUUGAUAGGGAAGAAGUUCUGACGGUACCUAUCGAAUCAGCAUCGGCUAACUCCGUGCCAGCAGCCGCGGUAAUACGGAGGAUGCAAGCGUUAUCCGGAUUUAUUGGGCGUAAAGCGUCCGUAGGUGGUUAAUCAAGUCUAUUGUCAAAGCCUGGGGCUUAACCCUGGAGAGGCGGUGGAAACUGGUUAACUUGAGUGCGGUAGGGGCAGAGGGAAUUCCCAGUGUAGCGGUGAAAUGCGUAGAUAUUGGGAAGAACACCGGUGGCGAAAGCGCUCUGCUGGGCCUGCACUGACACUGAGGGACGAAAGCUAGGGGAGCG
rnacentral:rRNA from 4 species